GUCUUCUCUCUCAGGUGUGUGUGUGUCUUCUCUCUCAGGUGUAUGUCUUCUCUUCCAGGUGUGUGUAUGUCUUCUCUCCCAGGUGUGUGUAUGUCUUCUCUCUCAGGUGUGUGUAUGUCUUCUCUCCCAGGUGUGUGUAUGUCUUCUCUCCCAGGUGUGUGUAUGUCUUCUCUCCCAGGUGUGUGUAUGUCUUCUCUCUCAGGUGUGUGUAUGUCUUCUCUCCCAGGUGUGUGUGUGUCUUCUCUCCCAGGUGUGUGUAUGUCUUCUCUCCCAGGUGUGUGUAUGUCUUCUCUCCCAGGUGUGUGUAUGUCUUCUCUCCCAGGUGUAUGUAUGUCUUCUCUCUCAGGUGUGUGUAUGUCUUCUCUCUCAGGUGUGUGUAUGUCUUCUCUCUCAGGUGUGUGUGGAGAAUGUGACGGUCCUGGGGGAGGAUGUUAUCGUGAACGAUGAGCUCUACCUCAACGGUGCCAACGUGCUUCUUCAGAAGUCAAUCACCGACUAUGUCUGAACCUCAUCGCAUCA
ensembl:lncRNA